rnacentral:rRNA from 1 species
CCUACGGGAGGCAGCAGUGGGGGAUAUUGCACAAUGGGCGCAAGCGGGAUGCAGCCAUGCCGCGUGUAUGAAGGAGGCCUUCGGGUUGUAAAGUACUUUCAGCGGGGAGGAAGGGGGCGAGGUUAAUAACCUCGCUCAUUGACGUUACCCGCAGAAGAAGCACCGGCUAACUCCGCGCCAGCAGCCGCGGUAAU